UCUUUUUGAAUAUUAUAUAAGGUCUAACCUGCCCAAUGAGGAAUUGAAUGGCUGCGGUAUUCUAACCGUGCUAAGGUAGCAUAAUCAUUUGUCUUUUAAUUGAGGGCUUGUAUGAAAGGUUGGAUGAAGUAAUAACUUUCUUUAAUUUAAUUUAUGAAUUAAAUUUUUUAGUCAAAAAGCUAAAAUAUUUUUAUUGGACGAGAAGACCCUAUAGAUCUUUACAGGUCAUUAAAUUUAAUAAUUUGGGAAUUACUUAUUUAAAAUUAAUUUCUUGUUUGGUUGGGGUGAUUGUAGAAUUUUAUGAACUUCUA
rnacentral:rRNA from 1 species